UGGUGGAGUGAUUUGUCUGGUUGAUUCCGUUAACGAACGAGACCUCAGCCUGCUAAAUAGUCAUAUCAUUGUUUCAAUGGUGUAGCUUCUUAGAGGGACAUUUCGGGGUUACCGAAAGGAAGUUUGAGGCAAUAACA
rnacentral:rRNA from 1 species